AUUGAACGCUGGCGGCAGGCCUAACACAUGCAAGUCGGACGAGUGGCGGACGGGUGAGUAAUGUCUGGUAAACUGCCUGAUGGAGGGGGAUAACUACUGGAAACGCUAGCUAAUACCGCAUACCAUCAGAUUUUCCCAUAUGGGAUUAGCGUGUUGGUGGGGUAACGGCUGACCUAGGCGACGAUCCCUCGCUGGUCUGAGAGGAUGACCAGCCACAUGGGGACUGAGACACGGUCCAGACUCCUACGGGAGGCAGCAGUGGGGAAUAGUGCACAAGGGGCGCAAGCCUGAUGCAGCCAUGCCGAGUGUAGGAAGAAGGGCUUCGGGUUGUAAAGUACUUUUAGCGGGGAGGCGUGACCGGCAGAAGAAGCAACGGCUAACUCCGUGCCAGCCGCCGCGGUAAUAC
rnacentral:rRNA from 1 species